AACCUAAAAUUUGUGGAGGCAUAUGAUUAAGCUGAGUCUAGGUAAUUGAUAUUAUAUAUGAAGGUCUAAGCUGCUAUUUAUCUUAUUCAUAGCAUUACUAAGUUCUGGAGAUUAAUUUUCAAAAACCCAAAAUCUUACAUGAUAAGCUCUUGUAUGAUAAAUUUUAAAUUCCUACCAAAGCCAUAUAUGGUAAAUUUAGAGUUAGGAAAACCUUUGCGCAUUCAUGCUGCUUUCUUUCCAUUGAGUUUAGUCAACCUUUGUUGUAUACCUUAUGAGAGUCUUGUCAUGCUUUUAAAAUCAAGAUCACUUACGCACUCCACCUACAUAUGCAUUGCUCCUACUCUGGGACUAAGCGCAAUUAUUUUCCAUUUUCAUCCAGAUGCACCUUAAAAAAUGUCUUCUCCUACACUAGGAGUAAACACCCAAAAAUAUAUACCCUAUAGGGCAGCUCCCACUUAAUUACUCUAAGUUCUUACAAUUAUCUCUUCAAUUAUUUAUAUUCAAAGGAUGCAUGUGACUAUGCAAAAGUAUUUAAAAAGAAAAAAAGAAGAGAAAAAAAGAGAGUAAAAGAUAGACAAGUGUCCCAGCAAUUAAAACAAUGGGUACACCGAUGCCCGCCUCCCACAGUAAUAAAAAAACAAGAGAAAGAGAGAAUAAAGAUAGCCCAUGUUUGCCUGUGAAAAGUUCUGAGGGAGUAAUCUUCAAAGAGGAAAAGUAUAAUUAGGAUUAGCCACUAAAUACUAUAUAUACACCUAUCCAUCAUAUUCCAUACACAUACACAUCUUGUUUUGAGUGUAUGCCUCGAUUCUCUAUGGAUCCAUUGUUUGACUUUACAAUAUAUGAAUUGCAAGUAUGCUCAUCCUUGUUAUUGCCACUCCUAUAAGCUCCACU
rnacentral:lncRNA from 1 species